rnacentral:rRNA from 1 species
AUACAUGCAAGUCGAACGCGUUGGCCCAAUUGAUUGAUGGUGCUUGCACCUGAUUGAUUUUGGUCGCCAACGAGUGGCGGACGGGUGAGUAACACGUAGGUAACCUGCCCAGAAGCGGGGGACAACAUUUGGAAACAGAUGCUAAUACCGCAUAACAGCGUUGUUCGCAUGAACAACGCUUAAAAGAUGGCUUCUCGCUAUCACUUCUGGAUGGACCUGCGGUGCAUUAGCUUGUUGGUGGGGUAACGGCCUACCAAGGCGAUGAUGCAUAGCCGAGUUGAGAGACUGAUCGGCCACAAUGGGACUGAGACACGGCCCAUACUCCUACGGGAGGCAGCAGUAGGGAAUCUUCCACAAUGGGCGCAAGCCUGAUGGAGCAACACCGCGUGAGUGAAGAAGGGUUUCGGCUCGUAAAGCUCUGUUGUUAAAGAAGAACACGUAUGAGAGUAACUGUUCAUACGUUGACGGUAUUUAACCAGAAAGUCACGGCUAACUACGUGCCAGCAGCCGCGGUAAUACGUAGGUGGCAAGCGUUAUCCGGAUUUAUUGGGCGUAAAGAGAGUGCAGGCGGUUUUCUAAGUCUGAUGUGAAAGCCUUCGGCUUAACCGGAGAAGUGCAUCGGAAACUGGAUAACUUGAGUGCAGAAGAGGGUAGUGGAACUCCAUGUGUAGCGGUGGAAUGCGUAGAUAUAUGGAAGAACACCAGUGGCGAAGGCGGCUACCUGGUCUGCAACUGACGCUGAGACUCGAAAGCAUGGGUAGCGAACAGGAUUAGAUACCCUGGUAGUCCAUGCCGUAAACGAUGAGUGCUAGGUGUUGGAGGGUUUCCGCCCUUCAGUGCCGGAGCUAACGCAUUAAGCACUCCGCCUGGGGAGUACGACCGCAAGGUUGAAACUCAAAGGAAUUGACGGGGGCCCGCACAAGCGGUGGAGCAUGUGGUUUAAUUCGAAGCUACGCGAAGAACCUUACCAGGUCUUGACAUCUUGCGCCAACCCUAGAGAUAGGGCGUUUCCUUCGGGAACGCAAUGACAGGUGGUGCAUGGUCGUCGUCAGCUCGUGUCGUGAGAUGUUGGGUUAAGUCCCGCAACGAGCGCAACCCUUGUUACUAGUUGCCAGCAUUAAGUUGGGCACUCUAGUGAGACUGCCGGUGACAAACCGGAGGAAGGUGGGGACGACGUCAGAUCAUCAUGCCCCUUAUGACCUGGGCUACACACGUGCUACAAUGGACGGUACAACGAGUCGCGAACUCGCGAGGGCAAGCAAAUCUCUUAAAACCGUUCUCAGUUCGGACUGCAGGCUGCAACUCGCCUGCACGAAGUCGGAAUCGCUAGUAAUCGCGGAUCAGCAUGCCGCGGUGAAUACGUUCCCGGGCCUUGUACACACCGCCCGUCACACCAUGAGAGUUUGUAACACCCAAAGUCGGUGGGGUAACCUUUUAGGAGCCAGCCGCCUAAGG